rfam:Bacillus subterraneus strain MITOT1 contig_164, whole genome shotgun sequence.
UUCACCUUUUAAAAAAGUCCAGAGAGGCUAAAAAGGGUGUUAUGGGCGAACCGGCUUAUUCAACAUGCACAUAAAUUCACGCACACAGCGGAUUUAUGCCGGCAAGUUCAUGCAAAGCACCCUGUUGAACAGACAGGGUGUUUUUUUCUA